GCUCAAGUUUCUCUUCUUUAUCGCAUAAAUCUUUUGCGUUUUACUAAAGAUUUCUGUGGAGGGGAACGUUUUGCAAGUGACCUGUAUUUGGAGGCUCUGAUCACAGCAGAGCU
ensembl:snRNA U5 U5 spliceosomal RNA